UUAAACUGGUGUUUGAGAGAG
ensembl:piRNA 21ur-1093 ncRNA